GGCCCGGGCGCUGGUAGCCGCCGGGGGUCGUCGCUAUAGCAAUGAGAAGCCGCCGCGUGUCCUGCCCAGGGACUCUGUCCACCUGAGGCCUGAGGCGGGAGCGAGGAGGAGCCCGAGGCCCCGAGGACUCCACGCCGUCUCGUCGGAGGCCUGCGGGGGAGAACGUGCGCUUCGGGAGCCAGGGAGGACAGGAGGAACAGGUUGUGCGGGAAGCCGUUCCCGCGGGUCCCGCCGCCCGCACUGGGCCUGCGGAUCCUGUCCUCGGGGCUCAGAGCCCCCAGGCUGCCUCCUGCGCCCUACGGUCCCGAAGCACUUUACCGGGCGCAGUCCGCAGGCACUGCCUACGAUCUUCGAGCCAACCCCCUGAAGGCAGCAAUUGCAGAUCAAAAGGGCAACGAGGGAAACUGGUGGAACCUGGCUUCCUGGCUCCAGCUUCUCAGGCUGUCUUCCUGAUUUGGAACUGGACUGAGACUCUGUGACCUUAGCUGGAGCCUGGGCCCAUCCUCAUCCUGGACAAAGCCAGGCAGGUGUGCGAGAGGCCUGGAGAGAGUCCAGGAAACUGCACAGAUGAUCCCAAGGAGAGACGGAGCAUGUUCUUCUUUUAAAAAAAGUACCCUUCGAUGAAUGUCAACUGAUGUAUAAUUCCACUAGAUGUGCAAAGUUCUUUCAGCCCAGCAGCUCCUGCCCAGGUCUUUCCUCAGCUUGUCACCGUCAGUGACCAGAUGCGGACAGCUCCUGGCCUGGGGCUCUGAAAUCCAAAUCCCACAGCUCUCUAGGGCUAUGGUUACAGCCACAGGGAAACCAUAGAGUGGAAGCCCAUCCAGUACCCAGAGCAGCUUAAGAGCCAAGCGCUCAGGCUCCAGGACACAGUGACCUGACUGCCAGAGACUCAGGCUUCCCCAACUCCCAAGUUCAACUUUCCCUUCUGGCCCAGCCACCUCCACAUCCCAGCUUGGCUUCAGGAGCCCCUGGGACAAUAGGCAGAAUCAUAUCCUCCUGGGCAAAGCCUUGCCAAGAGGAAUUUUCUUUUUGUCCACAUAAAUCUCUUCCUGGGUGAGGACAUGAUGGGGGAAGGGUGUAGCAAGAGGUCAAGGG